CCACGUGUGUGUGUGUGUGUGUAAGGGUGGAGAAGGGCAAGGACACGGCUACUUAAAUGCAUCCCUGGGGCUGGGACUACAGGCUUGUCUCCAGAGAUUCAGAGCUGUCCUGUUCCUGCUUGGCACCCUGUGGCUAGGGACCCUUGCCACUGCUGCUUCCUGUAGCAGGCGGAAAUCGUCUGUAGAGAUGGUCACGAAGCCUGAUUCCUGGAAACACUAGGACAAUUUGAGUCACUACCAUCAUUGGAGGCCCGGUCGACACAAUGAUGCUAAGUUCAGAGAGCUGCUGUGUACCAGACUUGGUGGCUAGCUGCUUCCUGUGGGGAUAUGUACACUGAUUCCCCGAAGCCUGCAUCAUAGCGGUGACUUUCCCACCCAGGCCAGACUCGUUCUCUUCACUUCACUUCUCUCCCGAGACUCUCAACGGAAGUUUCCCUCUGGUCAGACAGGAGAGUGAAACGGCUAGCUCAGGGCUUGGGCUCGUUUGAGGUGGGCCUGCCUGGUGACAAAGCUCUUCUUCCUAAGUGCGGCAUGGUGGAGGAGAUGCCACACACCCCUUACUACUCCAGCCAGGUUUCUUAAUGUCCCCCAUGAGCGGAGCUCUGCCCAUAGGAGGUGUACAAAACCACUUGCCGAGUAAGGCUUCUAAAGCAAAGCAAUGAGGUAGAGGUGCAAAGGCCGUGACACGAACUGGAAACUAGAGAGGUUGACACAGAUAAAAACUGCUCCAUUUCUCAGUGAAAAAUCUACCUCCGAUCUUACUGCUUCUGUCAGUGCCAACAACCACCAAAUUUGGAUCUGUACGACCCCAAGUGAGAGGCACGUGGGACGGUUCUUGCAGGGCUUUCCUUGAGAGUAAGGCACUAACCAGCAAUGUUCUGGGCAAGCUGCUAUUUCUCCUUCCAGUGUUUCUCAGCAUCCAAGCCUGACUGGAGCAUCUCCCCUGAUGUGUCCACUUCCAGACCGCUUGGGGAGCACCAGAAACCAGUGAACCAGUGAGCUGUGGAGAUGCUGGGUUAGAGAUGUGGGGACAUGGAUCCUAAAUCACAAGCUGGCUUCUGUCGCAACUCCAUUUCCUAGACUAAGGCAAUGUAUAGCAAGCCACUUACAAGCGCUGUGUGUGGGUACAGUCAGCCUUGGU